CUCCUUUUAAAAUUGCAAGUUUAAACCCAUUCUCUUAAUUGCAGACAGGGGCCUCUAAUCUCAAAAAUUGCAAGAGAGGCCCCGUCCCCAAAACUACCACAGCCGACCAAAACAAGCCCUAAAUUAGCCAUCCAAAUUCUUCUUCCACCGGCGCCGCUUUUGGGUCUUUGCUGUCGGCCGAACUAAAACCCUAAAUCCACCAUUUAUUUCUCAUCCAACAACAUCAAUUCUCAAUUUUUACAACAAUAAGAAAAAAAAUGCACAAACAUAUAACAAUGGUUGCCGGCUCCUUUUCUUCUAUACCAAGUUCAAUAGAUUUCCAACAACAUCAAUUCAAAUCCCAAUUAAUUCAUCAAAGGGAAAACAAAAAUGAAAAGAAAAACCGACAACUAUAAAAAUAGAAAAUAAAAAAAGAGGAAAAACCGCAGCAAACUUUGAUGGUAAUGUCAAAACCCAAAUCAAUUGGCAAGUGAAAACGCCACUACCAGCGGCAGAGUAGCCGAGAACUACUUAUCAGUUAAUUCCUUUUUGUGUUUUGCCAUUUGAGAAUUACAGAGGAGAGAGAAAACUUUAUUCUUGGUUUUG
rnacentral:lncRNA from 1 species